AUCCAUGAAGAGGCGGAUAUAAACAAAUAAGAUGAGAAGAUCCUAUGGAGCUUUAAUUCAUUAAUGCAAAUAAAAACUCAUACAAGCCUACACGCCCUAGCCUCCUAGCCCUGCAUUAAAAAUUUUGGUUGGGGUGAACUUGGAGCAUAAUUCAACCUCCGAACAACCUAAACUAAGACCUCACUAGUCUAAGCGAGUUAAUACACGUUGACUCAAUAAUUUGAUCAAUAGAAUAAGUUACCCUAGGGAUAACAACACAAUCCUAUUCUAGGUCCAUAUCGACAAUAAGGUUUACAACCUCAAUGUUGGAUCAGGACGUCCUAAUGGUGUAGCCGCUAAUAAGGGUUCGUUUGUUCAAUGAUCAAAGUCCUACAUGAUCUGAGUUCAGACCGGAGUAAUCCAGGUCAGUUUCUAUCUAUUU
rnacentral:ncRNA from 2 species